rnacentral:rRNA from 1 species
UACGGAGGGUGCAAGCGUUGUUCGGAAUCACUGGGCGUAAAGGGCGUGUAGGCGGUCCGCUAAGUCUGAUGUGAAAGCCCGGGGCUCACCCCCGGAAGGGCAUUGGAAACUGGCGGACUCGAGUCCCGGAGAGGAAGGUGGAAUUCCUGGUGUAGCGGUGAAAUGCGUAGAUAUCAGGAGGAAUACCGGUGGCGAAGGCGGCCUUCUGGACGGUGCCUGACGCUGAGACGCGAAAGCGUGGGGAGCAAACAGG